GUCUGUUUCCAUACUUUGUUACUAUAAAGUAGUGAAGUUGGCACCUAUUAAUUUGUUUGUGAUGAAAUAUGAAGCCAAACAACCUGACUCCAAGAGCCUACGCUCACAAAUAUACCUGGAAGGGGAAAGCAUCUAGGAGGAACUACAUUGAAAACUCACACUACUAUGAACAUGAAGGAAUGUUUGUAAAAGGAGGACGAUUUCUUGUUCUUAACAGCUGAGGCACAUCCAAAGCUAACAGUAUUCCCACAUAGCUUGAAAGGGUUGUCUGUAUUUCUCUAGUUAGUCCUAGGUUGAAAGAGAAAUAAGACAAUUUGUGUAACUGUUAAAGAAGAAAAUAAGCAACUACCUAUGAUCUACAUCACGUGGGCGUUUCAAAGAAUUCCUUUUCUCUUGUUCAUAACGAAGCUGCUGCUGUUGCCUUCUCAAUUCUUCUCUUUCUCGGGCAAUACGUUCAGCUUCCUUACGUCGUUCCUUCAGACAACACAGAAUGAAGAACCAACCAAUGCAAAAU